rnacentral:rRNA from 1 species
CGCCAUUACAUAGGAGGAGCAGGCGCGCAAUUACCCAAUCCUGACAUAGGGAGGUAGUGACAAGAAAUAACAAUAGUUUUGCUAUAUGUGAAACUAAUUGGAAUGAGUACAAUUUAAACAUCUUGACGAGGAACAAUUGGAGGGCAAGUCUGGUGCCAGCAGCCGCGGUAAUUCCAGCUCCAAUAGCGUAUACUAAAGUUGUUGCAGUUAAAAAGCUCGUAGUUGGAUUUCUGCUCUGAGAAGGACGUCCGGGCGCUUAGCGUUGCAGAACAGUCCGUCUUGAGCAUCUUGUUCGAAACCCCGGCCUCAUUAACUUGGGGACGUUUUGGGUGAAGGACUCGUUUACUUUGAGAAAAAUAGAGUGUUCAAAGCAGGCAAAUGCCUUGAAUAAGUUAGCAUGGAAUAAUGAUAAAGAACUUCGGUUUUAUUUUGUUGGUGUUCUGAACUGAAGUAAUGAUUGAUAGGGACAGUUGGGGGCAUCAGUAUUCUGAAGCGAGAGGUGAAAUUCUGAAACCUUUGGAAGACUAACUGCUGCGAAAGCGCUUGCCAAGGAUGUUCCCUUUGAUCAAGAACGAAAGUUGGGGGAUCGAAGACGAUCAGAUACCGUCGUAGUCUCAACUAUAAACUAUACCAGCUAGGGAUCGGCCGGCGCUAGAAUAUAAGAGCCCGGUCGGCACCUUAUGAGAAAUCAAAGCAUCUGGGUCCCGGGGGGAGUAUGGUCGCAAGGCUGAAACUUAAAGGAAUUGACGGAAGGGCACCACCAGUCGUGGAGCCUGUGGCUUAAUUUGACUCAACACGGGAAAACUUACCAGGUCCAGACAUAGUAAGGAUUGACAGAUUGAAAGCUCUUUCUUGAUUCUAUGGGUGGUGGUGCAUGGCCGUUCUUAGUUGGUGGAGUGAUUUGUCUGGUUAAUUCCGUUAACGAACGAGACCCCAGCCUGCUAAAUAGCGCCGGUGAGCAUCUGCUUGCCGAGAGCUUCUUAGAGGGACUAUGGAUUCGCUUGCAGACCAGGGAAGUUUGGGGCAAUAACAGGUCUGUGAUGCCCUUAGAUGUUCUGGGCCGCACACGGGCUACACUGACGCGUGCAACGAGCAUAUCAGCUGGUCCGAGAGGAUCUUGGCUAAUCUUUUGAACUCGCGUCGUGCUAGGGAUUGACUAUUGCAAUUGUUAGUCAUGCAACGAGGAAUGUCUUGUAAACGCGGGUCAUCAACCCGCAUUGAAUACGUCCCUGCCCUUUGUACACACCGCCCGUCGCUCCUACCGAUGAAUGUUCCGAUGAAAUUUUCGGAGGUGGCCCUCGACCCGGGCCCUGCCUGGGGAUUCGGCUUUACCAUAGUGCUAAAAUCUGAACCUUGAGA